GACGAACGCUGGCGGCGUGCUUAACACAUGCAAGUCGAACGAAGAGCGAUGGAAGCUUGCUUCUAUCACUCUUAGUGGCGAACGGGUGAGUAACGCGUAAUCAACCUGCCCUUCAGAGGGGGACAACAGUUGGAAACGACUGCUAAUACCGCAUACGAUCUAAUCUCGGCAUCGAGGAUAGAUGAAAGGUGGCCUCUACAUGUAAGCUAUCACUGAAGGAGGGGAUUGCGUCUGAUUAGCUAGUUGGAGGGGUAACGGCCCACCAAGGCGAUGAUCAGUAGCCGGUCUGAGAGGAUGAACGGCCACAUUGGGACUGAGACACGGCCCAGACUCCUACGGGAGGCAGCAGUGGGGAAUCUUCCGCAAUGGACGAAAGUCUGACGGAGCAACGCCGCGUGAGUGAUGACGGCCUUCGGGUUGUAAAGCUCUGUUAAUCGGGACGAAAGGCCUUCUUGCGAAUAGUGAGAAGGAUUGACGGUACCGGAAUAGAAAGCCACGGCUAACUACGUGC
rnacentral:rRNA from 1 species